GUUUAUCCAUAGACUGUAUAGAGUUUAGAGUUUAUCACGGGAUCUCGCGGUCUCCCGUAUGGUCAGGAUUAUCGCGUGAUCUCGUGAUCUCGCGUGUAUACGACCGGCUCGCCAAACUGACGUGACUCUGCUGUAACGCUCCCGGUGUGAAUUGACGCCGGGCAGAAGACGCAGCAAAACCACGGUGGAGCCGUGCCGCUGCUGUAGCAUGCCCGGUGGCUCAUAACAUCAUCCUGAGGCGCACACAGCUCAUUUCAACGCCUUCUGCAGGAGCUGCAUCUGGAUGACACCACUGAGGGCGAGCAGAGGCUCCCUGGGUGACCAGCCCUGGCUGACUGCCCUAUCGCUGGAGAUCUUCACGAUUACUUUGUCCCGAGGAAGUGAACACCCUGACACCGAAACCUCCCAACAGGGAGGGAGGACACUGUUUAACCUGUUAACCUUUAACCUCAUCCUCUUCUGUAACUGGGACCUCGCCACAUCUGCUGAAGAAACACACCCAGAGGAAAGUAUGAGGAGCAGCAAUAAUUGCCACAAAGUGCAAUAACAAUCUUUAUCCCAUCUCACUCCAUGACUGGGACACACUUCAAGUCUCUUUUCUGGGUCCAACAUUACAGCUCUCAUCUUAAAUGAAUGUGACCUCUGUGUGUACUUGGCUCUGACCCUUCCACAACUUCUGCUGAAGGAAAAAAAAAAUGUGUGUGUAUUUGGACUGACUCAUGUCUGUGUGUACAUUCAUGAGAGUGCCAAAGAAAUCAAUGUUUACUUGAAAAUCAACUAGAGGAUUGGGGCUGCACGCUCCCGUCUAAAACACAUGCGGCCAAGGCAUCCCACCCAGCAGGAUCUGCUGCCUAAACCCAGAUACAGCUGUUCUUUCCUUUGUCCAGUGCCUGAGGGAAACUCAGGGGAGCAAACACCAAGUUCAGAAAGAUGAUCGGCAUCAGGCCUUGACAGGACAUGCAUGCUCAUGUAUCCCAAAUUUAACAAUUAUCAGAGUAUCCUGCUAGCGU